rnacentral:rRNA from 1 species
UUUGGGAAUGCGUAGCAACUGGAUGGGCGCGUAGCGUGUUGAUGAAGGCCUUCGGGUUGUAAAGCUCUUUUUUCAGGGACGAAGGUGAUGUGGUCUAUAGCUAUUGCUACUGACCGUUCCCUGACAAAAAGCACCGGCUUACUUUAUGCCCGCCGCCGCUAUAAUAA